rnacentral:lncRNA from 1 species
GUCUCCUGCUCAGCCCAGAGUUCUUUCCACAGCCCCAUGCUGCCUCUCUGUACCCAGCUCCUUUAUGCCCCCAUUCCCCAGGGACAUGCCUCAGUCGUGGAAGAGAAAGCUGCUGUCUCAGCCCUGGCUGUCUUCUAAUUCCUGCCCCCCAAGGAUAGUGGGGAGAGCCAGCAUAUUCAGGAGCUGAAAGUGGGUCAGCAUCAGCUCUGCGUAGUGCUCUCUCUUCAACGCUUGGGAGAGAGAGAAGGAAAAGGGGAGGGGACUGCCCCUUCAGGACAAUGGGCUCUGUCUUCUAACUCAUCUCUUUUGCAGUCUCAGUCUCCCCAGCACCCCCAUCUCCAUCCGCUUUUCUCUUUCUCCCCUGUCUGUCUCCCUUCGUCCUUCUGCCCCUUCAGUCUCUGUCUUUAUCUUUCUGUACUGCCAACUUUGGGAUUUUGUUCUCUUUCUCCAUCACCCCCUCUGUCUUCUUCCAUCUCUCUCCAUCUUUCUUCAUCUUACUCAUCUUGUUUGCUUCUCCGUGCCUGGCUGUCCUGUACCUCCAGCUGUCAGUCUCCCCCUGUAUCCAUCCCUCUUCCCUUCCCGAGCCUUUCUUCAUCUUUAUGUCUUUCCCUGUCUCCGUCGCUCCUCAAUCUGUCCCUUUCCAUCUUAUCUCACUGCAUUUUUUUCUCUUGCUGUCUCAAACUAUGUCCCUCUCUGUCUGUCUCUGUCUCCAUGUCUUUGACUCUUUCCAUGUUUGCCUUUCCCUGUACCUCCCUCUCUAAGUGUCUCUUGCUUUCUUCAUUUUUUUCCUUUUCUCUCUGUCCCUGUCUCUGUCUCUGUCUGUCUGUAUCUCUCUCUCACAUACACACACAGACACAACCCUACCUCACACACACACUCACUCAUCUUCCCUCUCCUUGGUUUUGCCGGUUUUUGUCUCACUCUCUUCCUGUCUCCACCUUUCUGUCUUCAUCUCUCUCACCCUCAAUCAAUCAGCAAUCAUUUAUAAAACACUAAACUCUGUGUCUCAGUUUCUCUCUCCCUAAUUUCACUCUCUGGUUCUCCUUUUCUUUAACCCUUUGCUUCUCUGGCUC